AUCUUCCGCAAUGGACGAAAGUCUGACGGAGCAACGCCGCGUGAGUGAUGAAGGCCUUCGGGUCGUAAAGCUCUGUUGUUAGGGAAGAACAAGUACCGUUCAAAUAGGGCGGUACCAUGACGGUACCUAACCAGAAAGCCACGGCUAACUACGUGCCAGCAGCCGCGGUAAUACGUAGGUGGCAAGCGUUGUCCGGAAUUAUUGGGCGUAAAGGGCUCGCAGGCGGUUCCUUAAGUCUGAUGUGAAAGCCCACGGCUCAACCGUGGAGGGUCAUUGGAAACUGGGGAACUUGAGUACAGAAGAGGAGAGUGGAAUUCCACGUGUAGCGGUGAAAUGCGUAGAGAUGUGGAGGAACACCAGUGGCGAAGGCGACUCUCUGGUCUGUAACUGACGCUGAGGAGCGAAAGCGUGGGGAGCGAACAGGAUUAGAUACCCUGGUAGUCCACGCCGUAAACGAUGAGUGCUAAGUGUUAGAGGGUUUCCGCCCUUUAGUGCUGCAGCAAACGCAUUAAGCACUCCGCCUGGGGAGUACGGUCGCAAGACUGAAACUCAAAGGAAUUGACGGGGGCCCGCACAAGCGGUGGAGCAUGUGGUUUAAUUCGAAGCAACGCGAAGAACCUUACCAGGUCUUGACAUCCCAUGACAACUCUAGAGAUAGAGCGUUCCCCUUCGGGGGACAUGGUGACAGGUGGUGCAUGGUUGUCGUCAGCUCGUGUCGUGAGAUGUUGGGUUAAGUCCCGCAACGAGCGCAACCCUUGAUCUUAGUUGCCAGCAUUUAGUUGGGCACUCUAAGGUGACUGCCGGUGACAAACCGGAGGAAGGUGGGGAUGACGUCAAAUCAUCAUGCCCCUUAUGACCUGGGCUACACACGUGCUACAAUGGAUGGUACAAAGGGCUGCGAGACUGCGAAGUUAAGCGAAUCCCAUAAAACCAUUCUCAGUUCGGAUUGCAGGCUGCAACUCGCCUGCAUGAAGCUGGAAUCGCUAGUAAUCGUGGAUCAGCAUGCCACGGUGAAUACGUUCCCGGGCCUUGUACACACCGCCCGUCACACCACGAGAGUUUGUAACACCCGAAGUCGGUGGAGUAACCGUAAGGAGCU
rnacentral:rRNA from 2 species